rnacentral:lncRNA from 1 species
UCUUUUUAUUGCAAAACGGCAGUGGGAGGAGCUUAAGGUGCCCAGGAGGAGUAACGCUGCAUUAAUCCUGAAAGCACCAGAGCACUUAAAUGAGGGGAUCCAGCAGGACAGCAAGGACAAGCUAACGGUGUGGAUCGGAUUAAAGGCAUCCAACUACACAUGGAAAUGGGUGGACAACUCCUCCUUCGAUGCCACCACGAGUACAGCUGCAACCCACAGUUCGGUUCCCUUCAGAGUGUGGAGAACGGCUGUGUGACCUUCAGAGACAAGAAGCUGGAGAUCGAUGGCUGUGGGAGCCACCAGGAGUGGGUUUGCCAGACAGAACCCUUCCAUCUCCUUUCAAAGACUGCAGGAGACGGAGAGCUGUAUGGUGCCCACCCCGAAAAGACCAGACUGCAGGAUGCUUGCUGAAAAUAUUUGGGGUGAAGCCAACCCUCCUUAUUACAGCUCUGCGAGGAAUUUCAGGGUUUGAAGCCAACCAAGCCCAGCUGAGACUAUCAGUGUAUGGACUGGUGAAAUUAGCAUGUGGUUUAUUUAUUUAUUUAUUUAUUUAUUAAAAAAAGCAUUCCUAUAUGUACAUACAGACUGUAUUUGUUCCAUUCUUGCUUUGUCCUCCUUCCAACAGGAAAUGUAUAGUAAAAAAAUAGCGUAAUUCCGUAGCACAUCAGAUUCACAGGUUUCAGAUUUAGUAUUACAAACAUGCCAUUUUCAUCUGUAGAAAAAUAAACCAAUUUUCUGCUGUACA